AGAAGAAGAAGAAGAAGAAGAAGAAGAAGAAGAAGAAGAGAUAUAGUAUAGAAAGAGAUAUCAUAAACCGUCAGCUUCCAUCAGAAAGAAGAAGAGAGAAAGAAAGAUAGAGAGUACUCACCGGCGACGAUUACGAAGAGGAACAAUAUCCACGUAUCCAUGAGUCUGCCGGCAGUGAAGCGUAGUUGGAAGCCGCCGGAGGUGGCGGAAGAUGACGAAAAGGAGGAGGUGGUAGCAGUGCCGGUGGCGAAGCCAAUGGUGGUAAUGGUGUUGGUUGUGUCGGUGUCGAUCGUGUUGGUAUUAGUAA